AAAAAAUCUGCUAGUGGAACAAGUGUAAAUGAUCUUGCUGUGGCCACAGCUGUAGUUUACCGCCACCAGGGUGUGAAUGUGAGAGUGAAUGAAUAAUGGAUCAAUAAUGUAAAGUGCUUUGGGUGCCUUGACAAGCACUAUA